rnacentral:lncRNA from 1 species
AUGAUGUGAAUUAUUGAAGAGAUCACUUGAGUGGAAAUUCAGGCGUUUUACUGAAAUUGAACCAUCUUACUCACAUGCACACUUUCAUGCAUGCCUUCGUAUAUAUCAAUUGGAGAGUUCUGCACGCAGUAAGGUAUAGUAGCUGGCUGUUACAUAUAAGUUCUGCAUCAGCAAGAAGAACAAAACAUGGGGGGCAUUCAUUACUACAAAUGGUUCACAAGUAUGUUUCCUCUUAACCUUGAAUUUAUACUUCAACUAGGGGAUAUCUUUCAAUAUUGGGCACCGCUAUUUGUCCCAACUAAUAAGCAUUAUGUUUUUGUGGGAUUGAAUAAGUUUUCUUUUAUGAUUGGAAUGGCUAAGCUGUGAUGGAGAAGGAACAACAAAAUGGAUCACCAUGUAAAUAAGAUGCUUAUUCUGGAGACCUACAAUUAACCACUUUUAAAUAUGAGCAGAUUGAAGAAAAAACACUAGAAGUUUAUUGAUUGUAUAUGUACUUUCCACGUCAUGAAUAUUUUUAUUUCUGUUCCCAUUUAAUGCAUGUUUUAUUUUGAGUUUUCCUUACCGUUUCAUUGCAAUAGUCCAUGCUAUGAAUAUAACAUUCACUAGCAUAGCAUAAUUAAAAAAUAAUUAAAGGAUGUAGCAACAUAUUGGAGUAUGAGUAUUUUAAAAGAAAAAAGUCCAAUCUUGCCUAUCUUCAGAGGAAAAGGAAAAUAUUGGACCCAUUUUAUAUAAGAGAUCAAGCUCUCCCUAUCGAUAAAGAAAAAAAUUCUUAUUUUUCUGCCGAACAAAUGAUAACAUCACUUAAGGUCUAUCCAUUGGCUAGAUUGUGAACCACCAUGUACUCAUGUAGUACCUCUUCACCCGACACUCUGCCAGGGAGUUGCGAGUGUAUUUGCUCCGUGCCUCCAUGGACCUAUUCUAAACACAAGAGUGAAAAAUAUAUCGAUGUGAGAAGCAAGGUGAGCACCGUGAUGAUAGUUUUCUGUUUGACCCGAAAAAAAAACCCCAUCUGCACAACCAUGCAUAAGUGACAAGGCGGAUCAGUGAUGCAGCUGAGGCCCUAAAAAUCUGAAAAAUAAAAAAAGCACAAAAUAAUAGAUCAUAAAAAAAAUAUCUUUCAUUUAUACACAUUAUAACUGCCCAUUGACCAUAUCCCUAUGUUGUGCUUACUAUCUCAACACGGAUAGCACAUAGCAGAUUUAGUAUCCCCUAGUGGCCACGCCAACUGGUUCAUGUGGACUGCCUUAAAAACUAGAAGGAAAUGGUGCAUGUGCAUUCAGGUGAGCAUUACUACAGUUUUUGGAAGGUAACUAGUGCAUGUGCUUGAGAGUGGGUCGUUGAAACUUCCUGGGUGCACUUUUUUAGAAGAUAACUUCUGUGUGAGCAAAAUGUCUUCCUGGACCUUCAACAUUUUCUCGUCCACCAUUCCACCUUGAUCCUUUUAGCUGGAAAUGAACCACUAGUCACAUGCAUGCUCUCCAUUCUUCAACACUUUUCUUUCAUACCAAAUGGUGGAGUGUAUCUGCACGGAGCAGUUCAUAUAGCUGGCGCGAAGCAUAUUUUCGCGUCAUAUAUAGCUAAUUGGAACAAACGGAAUUAAAGGGGACAUUUACUUAUUAAAGAUGGCUGAAUUGGCAUGACUUACAAGUAUGCUUUCUAAUGUGUAGUAAUAUACUAGAAAUGUAUCUUCGUAGCCUUAUCCUCUGCAGAGUGGAUACUUUGCACAGGGAUGUGAAAUACUGUGUAUAGAAAUAUUUCCUCCAGAUGAAUGCCAUUCUCAUGGGACUGACUAAGUUACGAUUUAUGCCAACUAUAACUUCCAAAAAAAUAAUUGUUGAGUUAAACUUUAUUCUAGAUUGUAUAUAUAUUUUCCAUUUAACGGAUAUUUUUGUCUACGCACAUGUUCAUGAAUUAUUGGUUAGAGUUUAUAUCUUGUCAUUGUACAAAUAUUUGUGUAACUGAAUUAGUCCACGCUGUGUAUAUAAUAUUCACUAGUAUAUCAAAUCAGCAAAAAAAUAUGGGCAACAUAUACGGAUUGAAAUCAUCUUUUUUAGUUGAAGAAAUGGAUCUAUUAUAUGGAAUACGAGAGCCAACCUCUGCUUAUUGACAGAGACAAAAUUCCAAUCUUUAUUUUCCCGGUUUUUCCCGAGGAAAAACGGUCAAAUAAAGUCGUUUAAGAUUAAACAUUUAAUAGGAUGCGGGCCAUCAGGUAGUAUGUUUUCAUCAGGUAGGGAUUGUGAGUUUGUUUGCUUUACCCCUUCUAAACAUAGGGGAAAAUAGUCCAAUGCCAGAUGAGCCCCGUGAUUCGUUUUUUACAUGCAGCGAAGAGGUCCUUCAGAAUGUGAUAUAAUGUGGUCACUUUUCUACUGCAUAAGAAAAUAUUUGUGAUUUAUACACCUUAUCACGGUCCAUUUACAAAUAUCAUAUUUAUACUGUGCUUAUUAUCUCAACAAAGAUAGCACAUGGACAGGUACGGCCGGUGCUCAAGUCAAUCAUAGCAUUCAGUUGAGCAAACCUACAGUUUUAGAAGGUUAUGUAGUGCAUGUAUGCAUGUGCAUGUGCUUCUGAGUUGGUUGCUGUCAAACUUCCUAUGUUUACAUAUUUUUAAGGCAACUUAUUUUGUGCGAUAAAAAAUUCAAAGUAUAUUACAGGAGCUAUCAUAUUUUCAUAUCCAACUUGAUCCCUUUAAAUGUAUAUGAAUGCUCCAAUUUCUGUAUAAGAAAAUAAUGCUUCUCUACAUAUGCGUCUCAAAAAAAACAUUAGUAUCCAAAAAAAGAGAGAGAGGUUUUGAAAUCCAAUACACCGAUAUUUAGGCAAGCAAAACCAGUAACUCAGAAACAAAAAGCACAUAAUUAAUAAUUUAACUUGGAACAAUCCAAAUGCAAAAUCACAUAAGAAAACAAAACUAGGCAGAUCGACUGGAGGAGGCUCCUAUAAAUACCUCACGUCUCCUCUGUCUCUCGCCAUCCCACGAAACAGAGCACCGAGUUCCAGCAAGAGGGAAGUGCACUGCAGCAUCACCGCCUAGCAUUACUGCUCAAGAUCCAUCUUCUUCGACCAUCAUGGCUGGCCGCUGGGCGCCGGUCGUCGGCGUUCUUCUCCUGCUUCCGCUCCUGCCGUUGGCCUCCUCUUCCAUGGUGUUCAAGCGAGACGGCAACGUCUACCCUAGUGGUUAUGCACACGACCUCCUCUCGACUAGCAGCAUCUCUCUUUGUUGU